rnacentral:rRNA from 1 species
UACAGAGGGGGCGAGCGUUAAUCGGAAUUACUGGGCGUAAAGCGUGCGCAGGCGGUCUGUUAAGACCGAUGUGAAAUCCCCGGGCUUAACCUGGGAACUGCAUUGGUGACUGGCAGGCUUUGAGUGUGGCAGAGGGAGGUAGAAUUCCACGUGUAGCAGUGAAAUGCGUAGAGAUGUGGAGGAAUACCGAUGGCGAAGGCAGCCUCCUGGGCCAACACUGACGCUCAUGCACGAAAGCGUGGGGAGCAAACAGG